CAAAUACUAAGCAAAAGAAAAAGCAUCUGAACAAGAGUGAAGUUGCACUACUCUUGUUGAAAUGUAAGAAACAAAGAAAAGAACAAGAAAGAGAUAAAUUAAGCAUUGGAAGAAAAACAUAAUGAUGGCCAGAGGAAGAACAACUUAAAACGGGCAAAGUAAAAACGAAAAUCAGCACCUAAUAACUAAUACAUAAAGGAAAAUCGAAGAAAAUCUAUCCUUUUCUUAGUGAAGUUUAAUGAGGCAUUGGCUAAUGAUCCCACCUAGCAUAACAGUGAAACUAGACGAAGCAAUAUGAGCAGAAUACUACUUCAUUUCAUGGAGUGUCAAACAGUGAAACGUAGAUUCAUCAAAGUGCUAUAGCAGCCACAAGCCCAACCAAGUUCAGGAUCCAUCCGAACCCUCGCAGAAAUCAACAGAAGAAAACGAGGAAAAAACCAACAGCCAAAAUAGGAUAACCAACUAAGAAGAAAUCAAUAAACCCAACGGAACAUAUUAAUUCAACCCAUAACGCAUCAGAUUAAGUGAAGGGAGAAGAGAUGAACCUGUUAAUUCAAAAUUCUUUCACUAAUAACAGAAGAUUACAAUGUCUUGCCCCAAAAUUCCAACUGAAAACAGCAACAAUAUUGAACAGAAAUCGCAAACCAAAAUCAAAUCGCGAAAACUCGGACAGAACUCAAAAACGGCACAGGAAUUCUGAACCCAAACACAAACCCCAACUUAAACUUCAAUCAAACUCCAUUCUUAAGGACCAGAAAUUUUAAAAAAAAGUGCUGGAAUUUUUGGUGAUUUUCUGAUUUAUUUUUGAAAUGAAACAAAACUCGAAAAAAAAAAAACAAACUCAAACCAUUUUUGUAUUUUUUGUUUUCUGAAAUGCAAACCAAAAUCAAAAAUCUGAAGAAAACUCAAAGAACCCUAGAGUUUUUACCUCUUUUGAUUUUCCGAGAAUCUCUCAAAAAAUCCC
rnacentral:lncRNA from 1 species